GAGAACCAAGAUGCCUGAAACCUAACCUGAUCCCAAAGCAGUAGGAGGACUACAAGGAGGAGACCAAGCCUGUCCAGGCCUGGGUACAAGGUGCGCCCCCCUCUCCCUGGGGAUGGACUUCGAAAGGGAAGAGAAACCACCUAAAGAUGCUGUUCUGCCACCGCCACAGCCCCAGGGUGCUCCAGGAGAGUCAGGGCACACAGCCACCUCUUGCGUCCCUUGUGCACCCAAGGAGGAAGGGCUUUGGAGAAGUGGAGAGCCAGGCGCACGGCCACUUCAUAAGUCCUCUGCAGAGCCAAGGAGGAGGGGCUUUGGAGAAGUGACAACCUUGAGGAGUUUGCCACCACCCCUGCCCUUGCUCAGGAUUAGCCGUGCCACUUUUGUGAAGUAGCCCCCACUGGAGAACAAGUUUGCUAUGGCGAGUGGAUUCCAGCUCAUCUCCUCUGUCUGCUACUUUGAGUCUGGAAAUGACUGGUGGGUGAGCAAGCACAUUAAGAAGCCGAUUCGCUCCACAGUCUUCAGCUUGGGCUGGCACCUCAACAACAUUUGGCUGGCUGCAGGGUCAUGUGACUUCAAAUGCAGCCAGGUGUCCAUUUACGAGGUGGACCAACAGGACUGUCGCAAAUUCUGUACCACUGGCAUCAACGGGGCCAUGAUGAUCUGGGAUUUCAACGUAUGUCUCUCCAGUGGCAGUUGGCAGCGCUGGUGUGCAGCCCGGGCCAUGCAUGAACUAUCCACUGAGCCGCCCUGCCACAGUGCCUGCUAGAAGAGCUGACCCCAGAGUCCCUAAGACAAGGGGAGCACAGCCACCGGCAGGCAACCUGGAAGCCACCAUGGGUGUUAAUAUCCUGAUAGGAGCCACAGAAGUCUAAAAUCAUUACUAUCACCAAAUACAAUCACCAUACAGACAGGUAAUUCUAAUUUUUAAUGGUUUGUUCAUGGUUGUUAUAUGUCCAAAGUAUACUACAUAUUUUAUUACUAAAUGUACAGAGCAUCUCCCAUGUUUCAGUUACAAUUCUUUGUGUAUCUAGGAUUAAUAUAUAAAAUUUACUGUAUACUAAUAAGCAUGUGUACUCCUCUCCUUCAAGCUUUCUGACUUCUCUGUGCAUGAAGCUUUCUGACCAUAUCUCAAUAAAGCGCAUUCAUCUUUCAAGUAUUCUAUGAUUUUUGCAUGUGUUAGACUCUAAGUUUCAGAGUUUUAAUGAUUUUGCAUGCUGCCUUUUUUUACCUGGGCCUUUAACAGGUAAAAAAAUUAGGAAUUAAUAAUCUUUGGAGAUGAAUAUAAAUUUCCCGAUAUUUUUACAUUACUGUCUUUUAAAUAUUAUUAUUAUUAUUAUUAUUAUUUAUUUCAAGUUAUUCAAAUUAUAUUGUGGCUGUGGCCCUCUCCCUCAUCUCAGAUCCCACCCUCUUUCCCUCUUCUCCCCCUGCACCCCUCCCCUAGUCCACUGUUAGGGAAGGUUGUCCUCCCCUUUUAUUUGACCCUGUACAAGUAUUCCCCCUAUUUGACCCUAUAGAAGUAUUCCUCCUAUUGUUGUGCUGAUAGCAUUAUAGUUAUCUAUCCUUCUAUCUAACAUCUAUCCUUUGUCUAUUGUCUAUAUCAUAUAUCUAUUACACACGCAUACACACACACAGUUUUGAAUAUUUCUUCAAAACACAUGUGGCUCAAUUUUUUUUUAAAUCAAUGUCUUAAAGUCAAAAUUUGAAAUGCAUGCGUCACUUUGUGAGUUAUGGCCUGAGCCUUGGAAUGUUGACAUCACAGUGGUUUCUCCCCCUGACUACUACAGAAUGUUUACACUUCAGGGGUUUGUCUACAAACUGCUGUAGCCAUUUUGGUUAGUGCCAGGUAAGAAAAGGCUAAUUUUUUGCCCAGUGAAAGGUUCUCCAUUCCAGGCUCCGAUGUAAAGGUAUUUUAAAAUGCUCAUUAUGAUUUUCAUGCUAGACUAAUGGUCUCAGGAAGUGUUCUGUCUUGAGUUCUCUAGAACCUGUGACCUAAUUCUUAACAGUUUUUUUUUUUCAUGAAAAGCUACUCCUGUUAGCAAUAAUCUUUACCAUUCCCCCAAAGAAACAAAGUUAUCAUGACAGAGAGUAAUGCUUUGAGAUAUUACAAGGAAUGAUAGUCAUGUACCUUCAAAACUAUAUGCCCAAGAUAUGAGAGAUUAUUUUCUCUUCAUCUAGUUGUAUUACCCAUUGUGCCAACAAAGUUUUGUUGGAAACUGCUCAAAUUUCAGCCCCAAAUUCAACAACCUUCUAGUUUCAAACAUAUAUUUCUCAAUAUGUGAACAUUGAUUCUAGUAGAUAAGAAUGACUUUCCAGACAUACUCAUUUAAUUUCAAUUUUAUAAUGAAAUUGCAUUGGCAAUAUUUUAUAAAAUACCUUUACAUUAUUGCCAGAUGCAUUUGAUGACAACCUUGGCUGAUGUCUCUCUUUGACUGUUCAAUUCACAGGGAUCUUUAAUCCUUCCCAAGUAAAAACUAUGGCUUGUCAGUACAUAUUCCUUGAAUGAAAUGAAAUGACUUAGGCAUAGUAAUAUUCACUUAAUAAAAUAUAUAUGUUAAAUAUUCCAACUGUAUGAGCAGGAACAACAGAGAAACCAUUAAAAUUGUAGCCACUCCAUUAUUACAGGGAAUAAUUUUAUUAUGGGUCAGAGAGGAAAAAUGUUCAGAGGCACCUGGAAGAGUUCAUAGCACAGAGAAAAAGAAGCAGACUUGAUAUGACCAAGACUGUCUAGAAGAGAAUGGAGAAUAUUAGGAGAAAAGUAGAGAUAGCUUAGACAGAGACAAACUAUGCUUCAUAAAUGUACAGGCUGGACUUAGGUCCACCUACACAUAUGUAACAGAUGUGCAUCUUGGUCAGCAUGUGGGACCCCUAACAAUUGAACUGAAGGCUAUCUCUGACUCUGUUGCUUGCCCUUAGUUUCCUUUCCCCUAGCUGGGCUGUCUUGCCUGUCCUUAGUGAGAGAGGAAGUCCUACCUCAUGUUAUGUGUCAGGGUGGGUUGUUACACACAGUGAGCCUCUCUGAAGAGAAAGAGGGAAUGGGGGAGGGAAGAAUGAUGGUGGGACUGUGAAGAGAGAAGGGACGGGGCCUGGGAUGAAGAUAUGAAAUUUAUAAAUAAAUUAAUUUGUGUAAAAAAAAUCAGGGUAUUUCUAGACUAUGCAGAAAAUUAGAAUAGUGCAGAAAGAGAUGAGGCUCUUUGGGAAGGCACAGGAAUCUAGACGUGUGUUUAGAGAUAUAUAACAAGUCCAUUUACUUCCCCUUCAAGGAACCUGGAGGCCACCAUGGGUGUUGAUAUCCUCAUAGGAGCUACAGGUCAAUAGAGAGCGAUUUGUCCCUUUUGUUGGAGCAAGGAAAAUGGCUAUUUUGCUGGACCAGAACUUUUGCACAAAUUCUUGAUGAAUGCUAUUUUUGUUGACCUGGAGGCCAGCAUUGGUGGCUGAUAUCCUGAUAUCACAGGUUGAGACCUGUCCCAGGAGAAUCUAUCUUUACCCACAUGGAAGCCUAUGAGGAGUUCACCAACGAUGGAGUAUACUGGACCUUGCUAUGCCAAGGCUCCAGGAAACUCAGAAGAGACAGAAUAAGGAAAAAAAAAUACAUCUCUCCUUGUUUAAUGAUGUUUUGGUUGUGACUAAUAACCUAUGGGUAUGUCCCUCAUGCCUGCCAUAGUAUUAGAGGCUACACUUUGAUUAGGCUUUACUGUACAAAAAUAAAAUAGUUUUUUGUUCUGUUUUGCUUUAUAAUCACUUCAUUAUUUCCCUAUUUUAUUUCUUAUUACACAUCCUCCCAUGUUUCCUUACUUGGUCUCUUUUAAAAUCAUAGCUUCUUUUUUAAUUAAUAAUUGUUACACAGAUACAUAUGUGUUAAGGUACGUAUAUGUGUGUGGAUAUAUAUAUAUAUAUAUAUAUAUAUAUAUAUAUUCGUAACUACAUAAUCAGCUCAGUCAGUAUAAUAUUAAUUGUAUAUAUAUUUUUCAGGACUGACCAUUUGGUAUUGAUAGCCAAUUAGUCUGCUAUUCCUAUGAGAGGUAUUUCUCUUACUCUCAAAAUUGCACAGCGGCACAGACUUUUUGAAGUAGAGUUGAAGCUUAGUGGACUUUCUUCUGUACACAUUUUCACUUUGUUAUCACAAAUGUUUCAGUCAUAUUUUAAAAAAUGAAUUAUUUAAAGUGUGAUUCUGCUGUUUGAAUUGAGAAAAAAAUAGCAAAAAUCAUGAAAAGGAGAGAGAUAUCAGCAAUUAUAGUUAUUUUGAAGCUGACUUAUGAGUAUUGGAAGUUUGUGGACUACACUAAAAUUUUUCUCAAAAACUGUUUAAAAUAUGAAAGAUAAUAUCACUGGUUAUAUUGGUUGCUCAAAGGGGAUCAUAUAUGUAAGCCUCUGAACUCAUAACUUCCAAAUUAGUGUGAAGAGAUGAGAAGCAGACACUAUCCCUACACUCAUCAGGGGAACUGCUGGUACCAAGUAGGUCCUGCUUGGUGAUCCUGCAGAUGCUAAGGACUGCUGUGAUUGGAGCAUAGAGGUGUUUUUUAGGACCACAUCACAUAUAAUCUCUAGGGGCCAUGAUCAUAGCCUUCAUAUUAUUCUGAGAGAAAUAAAAUUGGUCCUGACCUCCUCAAGUACAUAUUUUAAGGAGUAUUCUUAUAAGUAUGUAAAUAGAUUUUAGGACAGACAUCAAUAAAACAGUCUCAGUUUGGGGCGUAAAUUUUCCAGUUAUUGAGUAAUAUUCCUGAAGAUCCAUUUCAUAAAUUGUGAAAAAAAUGAAAGGAGAGAGUUCUUCUAUACAUUAUAGAGACAACCAAAUGCAUACAUUUUUCUCUCAACCCUGAGAGAAAACUCAACCCUCAACAUUUUUCUCUCACUGUAAGCUCCCACCCUAGAUAAGGGUGACUUAGUGUCUGACCAGUGUAGGCCUAAACUAAGUGAAUGGCCCAGCUGUCUGUCCAUCUUUGUCAUUUCUCCUCAGCUCCAAUUUAGUCCACAAUUGGAAAUCCUAAUUUUAUUUUGAAAGAUAGUAAUCAACUCAUUUAAAAUAAAAAGAAAAUACUGAUCAUUUUCCAUCAGUGUGUUUGUGAAACUGGUGAAUUUCACUUUGACUUUUGAAGAUAAUGGAAACUAAAAAAUGUUUGAUUUUCUUAAAAGAAAAUCUAUUUUGUUCCUCUUUGAAAACUCUUUUGUUCCUCUGUGGUUGAAUUGGAAUAGUAAUUAAAAAUGUUUUGAGAUCAUCAUUUAUAUUAUAAAAAGAGGAUUAUCAAGCUUAUGGGAUGGUUAUCAUUUUUCCAUUUUCAAUGUAGAUUAUUUCUAAUGAGAAAUACUAGAAUUAGAAGUUACAGGUUUCAUGAAGCAUUACUUCCCAAUUUUGGU